rnacentral:rRNA from 1 species
AUUGAACGCUGGCGGCAGGCUUAACACAUGCAAGUCGAGCGAGCGGCGGACGGGUGAGUAAUGUAUGGGAAAGUGCCUGAGGGAGGGGGAUAACUACUGGAAAGGGUAGCUAAUACCGCAUACCAUCAGAUGUGCCCAGAGGGGAUGAGCUAGUAGGUGGGGUAAUGGCUCACCUAGGCAACGAUCCCUAGCUGGUCUGAGAGGAUGACCCGCCACACUGGAACUGAGACACGGUCCAGACUCCUACGGGAGGCAGCAGUGGGGAAUUUUGCACCAUGGGCGAAAGCCUGAUGCAGCCAUGCCGCGUGUGUGAAGAAGGCCUUCGGGUUGUAAAGCACUUUCAGCGAGGAGGCGUUACUCGCAGAAGAAGCACCGGCUAACUCCGUGCCAGCAGCCGCGGUAAUAC